rnacentral:lncRNA from 1 species
ACGGCUUAAUCUGGUCCCAUUCGUUUAUCAUUAUUGAUAAUAAAGAGAGCAAUCCUCGCCCUCCACGGUCCAAUCUUCCCAGAUAAUGCAAUUGAGAUGGAGGAGAGUGAGGUAUAAUCGGAAGGGAGGGUGUGAGUGAGAGACGCGAGAUUUUCAAGUGGCAGAGAAGGAAGGUUUCAGACGCUCGCCAGCGUUGCACCACCAAAACUUGCAAAAGUUCUGAUGGUGCCACGCUGUGUGCGUCUAAAAUCUCUUAACUCCUUGGUUUUCUUCAUAUAAUUAAUGCCGAUUGAAGGGAUAUAUUCAAGCAUCAAAACCUGGAUUGGAAGAAAAUUGGUGAAGAGCUGAGACACGUUAGCUUUUUCAUUUUCUUUUUCUUUUUUAAGAAAUUUAAAUCCCCGCCAUGUAAUUUUUAUAAUCGCACGAUGGUUUCUUGUUUUGUUCAAUUACCUGCUUCCUUCUUUUGAACAUUUUCUCUUUGCAUUGUUCUUCUUCUUAUUUCAUGCAUUUCCAGUUGAAGGACACUGGAGUGAAGCCAAUAACUAUAGUACUGUUUAUCAUUGCUAUUUGUUUUUUUUUCUUCCAAACUUCAUCCUAAUUCUCCAGCUUAUUUAAAUCUUGGUUAUGGUAAUUGGAAUAGUUAUAGCAUUGUUCAUCUGCUUGUCAUUGUUAUAGUUCUUUGCAUUCUAUCGUCCUUGUUCUUUUCUGUAUGUAUCAAGUAAUUAAUUUGACUCUAGUCUCGGGUUUCAAUUUUGGCAGAACAAAUUAUAUGAACAUGAGUAAUUUUUUAGCCAAACCACCCUCCCUUUGACGCCCCA